GACGAACGCUGGCGGCGUGCCUAACACAUGCAAGUCGAACGGAGAUACUGAGGUAGCUUGCUACUUAAGUAUCUUAGUGGCGGACGGGUGAGUAACACGUGGGUAACCUACCCUAAAGAGGGGGAUAACACCGAGAAAUCGGUGCUAAUACCGCAUAACAUUAGUACUUCGCAUGGAGUACUAAUCAAAGGAGAAAUCCGCUUUAGGAUGGGCCCGCGGCUGAUUAGCUAGUUGGUGAGGUAACGGCUCACCAAGGCGACGAUCAGUAGCCGAUCUGAGAGGAUGACCGGCCACACUGGAACUGAGACACGGUCCAGACUCCUACGGGAGGCAGCAGUGGGGAAUAUUGCACAAUGGGGGAAACCCUGAUGCAGCGACGCCGCGUGGAGGAAGAAGGUCUUCGGAUUGUAAACUCCUGUCAUUCGGGACGAAUAAUGACGGUACCGGAUGAGGAAGCCACGGCUAACUACGUGCCAGCAGCCGCGGUAAUACGUAGGUGGCGAGCGUUGUCCGGAAUUACUGGGCGUAAAGGGCGCGUAGGCGGUUUACUAAGUCAGAUGUGAAAACCCCGGGCUCAACCUGGGGAUUGCAUUUGAAACUGGUAGGCUAGAGUGUCGGAGAGGAAGGCGGAAUUCCUAGUGUAGCGGUGAAAUGCGUAGAUAUUAGGAGGAACACCAGUGGCGAAGGCGGCUUUCUGGACGAUAACUGACGCUGAGGCGCGAAAGCGUGGGGAGCAAACAGGAUUAGAUACCCUGGUAGUCCACGCUGUAAACGAUGGAUACUAGGUGUGGGUGGUUUAAUACCAUCCGUGCCGCAGUAAACGCAAUAAGUAUCCCGCCUGGGGAGUACGGCCGCAAGGUUGA
rnacentral:rRNA from 1 species